CCGAUAGCUUAUAAAUCUCAAUAUGAUAAUUUAGAAAAAGCUGACAAAAAAGCUGUCAGAGUUAAUGCCAUGUUAAUGACCUUAAAGAUCGAAAUCAUUAAGGUCCCUGAAAAUAGACACAACA
rnacentral:snoRNA from 1 species